UGAACGCUGGCGGAAUGCUUUACACAUGCAAGUCGAGCGGCAGCGCGGGGGCAACCCUGGCGGCGAGCGGCGAACGGGUGAGUAACAUAUCGGAACGUACCCUAUCGUGGGGGAUAACACAUCGAAAGAUGUGCUAAUACCGCAUACGACCUGAGGGUGAAAGCAGGGGAUCGCAAGACCUUGCGCGACAGGAGCGGCCGAUAUCGGAUUAGCUAGUUGGUGAGGUAAAGGCCCACCAAGGCGACGAUCCGUAGCUGGUCUGCGAGGACGACCAGCCACACUGGAACUGAGACACGGUCCAGACUCCUACGGGAGGCAGCAGUGGGGAAUUUUGGACAAUGGGGGCAACCCUGAUCCAGCCAUUCCGCGUGAGUGAAGAAGGCCUUCGGGUUGUAAAACUCUUUCGGCAGGAACGAAACGGUGAGCUCUAACAUAGCUUGCUAAUGACGGUACCUGAAGAAGAAGCACCGGCUAACUACGU
rnacentral:rRNA from 1 species